AGCGAACGCUGGCGGCAGGCCCAACACAUGCAAGUCGAACGAAGUCUUCGGACUUAGUGGCGGACGGGCGAGUAACACGUGGGAACGUGCCUUUAGGUUCGGAAUAACUCAGGUAAACUUGUGCUAAUACCGAAUGUGCCCUUCGGGGGUAAGAUUUAUCGCCUUUAGAGCGGCCCGCGUCUGAUUAGCUAGUUGGUGAGGUAAAGGCUCACCAAAGCGACGAUCAGAAGCUGGUCUGAGAGGAUGAUCAGCCAAAUUGGGACUGGGACACGGCCCAAACUCCUACGGGAGGCAGCAGUGUGGAAUCAUGCGCAAUGGGCGAAAGCCUGAAGCAGCCAUGCCGCGUGAAUGAUGAAGGUCUUAGGAUUGUAAAAUUCUUUCACCGGGGACGAUAAUGACGGUACCCGGAGAAGAAGCCCCGGCUAACUUCGUGCCAGCCGCCGCGGUAAGAC
rnacentral:rRNA from 1 species